GAUGAUUCUGUUUCCAUAUUGAUAUCAGGUUCAUAAGCAGGGUGUUGCACUUGGAAGAUCUGUUGACUUGACAAAGUUUGAUGGUUAUGACCAAUUGAUCGAGGAGUUAGAUCAGCUAUUUGAAUUCAAAGGAGAAUUGAUGGCUCCAAAUAAAAAUUGGAUGAUUGUAUUUACUGAUAAUGAGGAUGAUAUGAUGCUUGUUGGAGAUGACCCUUGGCAGGAAUUUUGUGCUAUGGUCCGUCAGCUUUUUAUAUACACAAAAGAGGAGGUCCAGAAGAUGGAUUCAAGUACCUUGAACCCAAAAAAUGAAGAUUGUCCUGAUAUGAAAGAGAAUGUCAAGGAAACAAAAGGCAGUCAAUCUGCAUCAUCAUCUAAUUCAAAAAACUCAUAGGCUUAUCCUGCAAUGAUCUUGAAGCACAAACAAAGUGAUUGUUUAUGCUUUAUCUAAGUGAUUGUUUGAACAGUUUUAUAGCAUGCAUCUUGACAAUUAAUAUAAUUUUGAAGACCACUAUCAAGGAAGAAUGUUCAAAGGAAAGUAAAGGCUAAGGAGAAGAUCACGUAAUUAACUACACGGGUCUAGUGAAAAUACUGAAGAAGUAUGACAAGAGAACAGGAGCACUUAUCAGGUAACCCUUCAUCGAAAAGGUGCUGCAGCAGCCAUUCUUUACAACUGAUCCCCUAUACAAACUCGUGAAGGAGUGUGUGGCUAUGCUCGACCACCUCUUCCCCAGCAACAACCUGUCAAUUUCAGCAGAAUGCGACGGACAAAAUGGAGGGUUCCGGAGUUGGAGGAGA